GACGAACGCUGGCGGCGUGCCUAAUACAUGCAAGUUGAGCGCUGAAGGUUGGUACUUGUACCAACUGGAUGAGCAGCGAACGGGUGAGUAACGCGUGGGGAAUCUGCCUUUGAGCGGGGGACAGCAUUUGGAAACGAAUGCUAAUACCGCAUAAAAACUUUAAACACAAGUUUUAAGUUUGAAAGAUGCAAUUGCAUCACUCAAAGAUGAUCCCGCGUUGUAUUAGCUAGUUGGUGAGGUAAAGGCUCACCAAGGCGAUGAUACAUAGCCGACCUGAGAGGGUGAUCGGCCACAUUGGGACUGAGACACGGCCCAAACUCCUACGGGAGGCAGCAGUAGGGAAUCUUCGGCAAUGGACGAAAGUCUGACCGAGCAACGCCGCGUGAGUGAAGAAGGUUUUCGGAUCGUAAAACUCUGUUGGUAGAGAAGAACGUUGGUGAGAGUGGAAAGCUCAUCAAGUGACGGUAACUACCCAGAAAGGGACGGCUAACUACGUG
rnacentral:rRNA from 1 species